rnacentral:rRNA from 1 species
GCUUGUCUCAAAGAUUAAGCCAUGCAUGUCUUAGUGUAAAUAACUCUUAUGAAACUGCGAAUGGCUCAUUAAAUCAGUUAUCAAAUACGUGAUGGUCGCCUACUACAUGGAUAACUGUAGUAAUUCUAGAGCUAAUACAUGCGUCAGAACCCAACUUUACGGAAGGGUCGUGUUUAUUAGAUACAAAACCAACAUCUCGUUGGUGAUUCAUAAUAACCAAGCGAAUCGUCGGUUUACCGACGAUAGAUCGUUCAAGUUUCUGACCUAUCAGCUUUGGUCGGUAGGGUAUUGGCCUACCGAGGCAAUGACGGGUAACGGAGAAUUAGGGUUCGAUUCCGGAGAGGGAGCCUGAGAAACGGCUACCACAUCUAAGGAAGGCAGCAGG